GGGGGUGCACCGGUUUCGACUGAUGCGAUUCGGGGUACAGGCUGCAGGUGGAGCGCCCAUCUCCUGAUUGGGCAAAACUUUAAUUGCCGACAACGACAAUUACAACUACGCCUUAGCUGCGUAAUUGCGUGGGACCGUUCCGCCGCCUUGAGGAACGGCUCCCGCGUCACAAUCAAGGCUGGCCAAGCACCGCUUCCGGACGGUGUGCGGCGAGAAAAUUCCGGAAUACGGAGAAGCCGCGCGCUGCGCAGCCAAACUCCUCCCGACAAUUCAAUGCGCGGCUAAACCUGUAGACGCUUGUAUCUCGCACACCAGGACGCGGGUCCGACUCCCGCCACCUCCAGUA
rfam:Treponema azotonutricium ZAS-9, complete genome.